UACGUAGGGUGCAAGCGUUGUCCGGAAUUAUUGGGCGUAAAGAGCUACGUAGGCGGUUUGUCGCGUCUGCUGUGAAACCGAGGCUCAACCUCGGGCCUGCAGUGGGUACGGGCAGACUAGAGUGCGGUAGGGGAGAUUGGAAUUCCUGGUGUAGCGGUGGAAUGCGCAGAUAUCAGGAGGAACACCGAUGGCGAAGGCAGAUCUCUGGGCCGUAACUGACGCUGAGGAGCGAAAGCAUGGGGAGCGAACAGG
rnacentral:rRNA from 1 species